rnacentral:rRNA from 1 species
AGGAGAAAUCUGAACCAGCCCGCUCGCGUGAAGGAAGACGGCCCUACGGGUUGUAAACUUCUUUUGUAAGGGAAUAAAUAGUCUUACGCGCUAGCACGUUGCAUGUACCUUACUAAUAAGGAUCGGCUAACUCCGUGCCCGCAGCCGCGGUAAUACGGAGGAUCCGAGCGUUAUCCGGAUUUAUUGGGUUUAAAGGGUGCGCAGGCGGCAUGUUAAUUCGGCGGUGAAAUUUUGCACGCUCAACUGUAAAAGAGCCUUCAAAACUGGCAAGCUUGAUUGUGGAUGAAGUAGGCGGAAUUUGUGGUGUAGCGGUGAAAUGCAUACAUAUCACAGAGAACACCGAUUGCGCAGGCAGCUUACUAAACCAUAACUGACGCUCAUGCACGAAGGCGUGGGGAUCAAACAGGAUUAAAUACCCUGGUAGUCCACCCACUAAACGAUGAUUACUGGCUGUUUGCGAUACAAUGUAAGCCGCUGAGCGAAAGCGUUAAGUAAUCCACCUGGCCGAGUACGUUCGCAAGAAUGAAACUCAAAGGAUAUGGACGGAUG